AUAGUAUAAUGAAGUGGCAUCACUUUAUUAUUAAAGAUUUAUCACUCGAAGAUGGCUGUGCGGCUGAUUAGGUAGUUGGCGGGGUAAAGGCCCACCAAGCCUGCGAUCAGUAACUGGUGUGAGAGCACGACCAGUCACACGGGCACUGAGACACGGGCCCGACUCCUACGGGAGGCAGCAGUAAGGAAUAUUGGUCAAUGGAGGCAACUCUGAACCAGCCAUGCCGCGUGGAGGAUGAAGGUCCUCUGGAUUGUAAACUUCUUUUAUAUGGGACGAAAAAAGGCUUUUCUAAGUCGUCUGACGGUACCAUAUGAAUAAGCACCGGCUAACUCCGUG
rnacentral:rRNA from 1 species